rnacentral:tRNA from 1 species
GGGGAUUUGGCUCAGUGGCAGAGCACUUGCCUGGGAAGCGUAAGGCCCUGGGUUCGGUCCCCAGCUCCG